UCGGUAUGUAAAGCUCUAUCAGCAGGGAAGAAAAUGACGGUACCUGACUAAGAAGCCCCGGCUAACUACGUGCCAGCAGCCGCGGUAAUACGUAGGGGGCAAGCGUUAUCCGGAAUUACUGGGUGUAAAGGGNGCGUAGGUGGUAUGGCAAGUCNGAAGUGAAAACCCGGGGCUUAACNCUGGGACUGCUUUUGAAACUGUCAGACUGGAGUGCAGGAGAGGUAAGCGGAAUUCCUAGUGUAGCGGUGAAAUGCGUAGAUAUUAGGAGGAACANCAGUGGCGAAGGCGGCUUACUGGACUGAAACUGACACUGAGGCNCGAAAGCGUGGGGAGCAAACAGG
rnacentral:rRNA from 1 species